rnacentral:rRNA from 1 species
UACAGAGGUCUCAAGCGUUGUUCGGAUUCCUUGGGCGUAAAGGGUGUGUAGGUGGCGCCGUAAGUCGGGUGUGAAAUUUCGGAGCUUAACUCCGAAACUGCAUUCGAUACUGCGGUGCUUGAGGACUGGAGAGGAGACUGGAAUUCAUGGUGUAGCAGUGAAAUGCGUAGAGAUCAUGAGGAAGACCAGUGGCGAAGGCGGGUCUCUGGACAGUUCCUGACACUGAGACACGAAGGCCAGGGGAGCAAACGGG